rnacentral:tRNA from 5 species
UAAGGGUUCUUGUAGUUGAAUUA